rnacentral:rRNA from 1 species
AAUUAUUUAUUUGAUGGUUUCUUACUACAUGGAUAACCGUAGUAAUUCUAGAGCUAAUACAUGCGUAAAGUCCUAACUCUUGCGGGGAGGGAUGUAUUUAUUAGAUUAAAAACCAAUGCGGGCUUUGCCCGGUUUUGUGUUGAUUCAUAGUAACUUUUCGGAUCGCAUGGCUUCACGCCGGCGACAGUUCAUUCAAAUUUCUGCCCUAUCAGCUUUCGACGGUAGUGUAGUGGACUACCGUGGCAUUUACGGGUGAUGGAGAAUUAGGGUUCGAUUCCGGAGAGGGAGCCUGAGAAACGGCUACCACA